rnacentral:rRNA from 1 species
UGGUGGAGUGAUUUGUCUGGUUAAUUCCGAUAACGAACGAGACCUUAACCUGCUAAAUAGUCACUGGAAACUGCUGCAAAAGCGUUCGUCACGUCGGCGAGCUGAGGGGCAACCCGAGGCGCAAUGGUGUGGCGGGCGUGGUUGUUUCCGAGGAUGCACUUCUUAGAGGGACUUUCAGCUCUGAAGCUGAAGGAAGUUUGAGGCAAUAACA